UAGAGAGGAAUAAGGGAUGUAUCUUAUCACUAUUCAAGGGAAAGAGAAGGAGCAUUGCAUGAUUAACUCUAGAGAUAUCCAAGGAAUAUAUCGUGAGUCAUUACGGGAAAAAGAGAUCAGAAAAUUCAAGACUUUGUCGUGAGAAAAUCAAGGCAACUUGGAGGAGAAUCCACUUCUAGAUGAAUGGCCAAGAUCACAUCACAAGAGAAGACCACCACUUCUUGACGCAAAAUUUAGUUCAUUAGCCAAGCUCUCUUCUCUCCAAAACCCUCUCCAAAAAUUCAGAAAAAGCCUCUUGCCAUGAAGAGCUUUAGGACUUCUCCAAGGCUGUUCAUGUUCUUGAAGGCCUAGCUGUGUGUUCUCUUGACGUUCUCCAAGCUUCCUUGAAUAUCAAAAAGUGAGUACCAUCAAUCCUCUGUUAGAACGAUCCCUACUUGCUUAUAUACUAACGAAUGACAACAAGGUUUGUAUCUCUUUGGCCUCCAUAGCCUGCAGACCCGCACUUUGAUUUGCAUAUCAUUCUGUAAAGGCCUGAAAUCUCGUAUCCUGACGGUUCACUAUUACCUGUCAAUAAUUACUAUAAAUGUGAGUAUAUACAUAGUAGAAGAAAUUGCAGGAUCGCUGUAGUUAUGUUUUGAGAAGGUAGUUGUAUUAAUAGCAAGCAUUCAAUGAAUAAAGUUGUUUAUGUUUUCAUGAUAAAAAUCUAAAAAACAGGUUUGAAUCAUACAAUAAAAGGAUUUGAUCGAAGAAAAGCGUUGUUACAGAGUUGAAAUGCAAAAUCAGUGCUUACACCUCGUAGUGUCACUACAGUCAUCGAAGGCCAUUCAUUUCUUUUACACCUCUUAGUACAUCUACAGUCAUCAAAAGUAUCAAGCAUAGUUUUCGGGAAACAAACAGGGAAAGAAAAAAACAGCAAUGGAAAAGGCAACCCAAGUGAUAAGCAAUGAAACUAAUUUACCUUGAUUUCUCUUUCUGUAUUGGUUGUACAUUGCUUGAUCUUAGGAUGUUUAUGUAUAAACUGCAAAUCUCUAGGAUCUAAACUGAUCAGCAGUCCUUUAAUUCUAUUUAUUGUAAUGGCUGAUCUCUAGGAUCUAAACUGAUCAGCAAUCAUGUAUAUAUUUGAAAUACAUCAAUGAGAAAUUGUGUGGAAAACACUUUACCCAAAUUUGUUUUAUGGUAUCAAGAGCCUUUGUCUAAAUGACAACUUCUCUUUUUUUCUUUCCGAUCUGUUUCCUUCCCUUCCCAUGGCUACCCCCACCAACACCACCACCACGACCACAUCAAACUUCCUCACUAUCAAACUAGACCGCACCAAUUACUCCUUAUGGUUAGCCCAGAUAACUCCUCUCCUCAAAAGUCGAAAUCUCAUGGGUUUUGUUGACGAAACAAAACCUUGUCCUCCGGCCUUUCUUCGGAAUGAGGCUGGUGAAUUAACUGACACCGUGAACCCUGCAAAUGAGGAAUGGAUAGCUACUGAUCAAAUGAUCCUUGGAUGGAUCAAUGGCUCCCUCACACCUUCUGUCCUGACCACCGUUUCCCGCUCCAUUGCUUCCCACACUACCUGAACAUCUCUUGCACGGUGAUAUGCUUCACAGAAUCACAACUGUAUUCUCCAACUUCGUGGCAACCUUCUCCGCACUACUAGAGGUGAUCUUUCCAUCUUUGAUUACUUGAAUAAGAUCAAUCAGAUUGCCGACUCACUUGCUUUAUCCGGGCACUCGGUUGAUGGCUCCGACUUUAUCUCCAUCAUUAUGAACAAUGUUGGAACUCUCUAUGAGAACACCAUUAGCUCUGCUCAAGCCCGUGCAUGACACGCCAAUCACUUAUGAUGCUCUUGAAGCAUUGCUUUAGGGAGCCGAAAGUCGCCUAAAAAAUCAAGCACUAGUUGGACUAGAGUCAACUCCCACUGCACUCUUAACUCACAAACACCAAGUUGGUGGCUCUCGUGGACGCGGUACAUUCUCUAGAUCUCAAAGAGGCCGCCCCAACACGCGUGGAUCCUUCUCUGGUCCUUCCACAUAUGGCCAUGGUUCCAGCUCGCGGUUUCCAUCUCGUGGUGGUUCUAUUCUUGGUCCAGCUCCAUUUCCUCGACCUCCCUCUACCUAUGACUCUAGCGGCCCAUGCCAAAUCUGCAACCGCAACGGUCAUACAGCAUCGAUUGCUUCUAUAGACUCAACAUGGCUUAUGAAGGUCGAACACCAAGCACCCGUCUGCCUGCCAUGGCUGCGGCUACGACCUCUCACCAUGAUCCCUCUGCUUGGCUUCUAGACACCGGCUCAAAUACCCACAUCACCAAUAAUCCUCAUAUAUUACCACAUCCUCAAGAAUACCAUGGUUCCGACACGGUUGUCGGCGUUGUCUCAGGUCAUGGUUUGCAUAUUUCGAAAAUUGGAAAUACAUCUUUCCCUUCUUCUCACUGUCCUAUAACUCUUUAUGAUGUUCUUUAUUGCCCA